rnacentral:rRNA from 1 species
UGGGGAAUUUUGGACAAUGGGCGAAAGCCUGAUCCAGCAAUGCCGCGUGUGUGAAGAAGGCCUUCGGGUUGUAAAGCACUUUUGUCCGGAAAGAAAUCCUUGGCUCUAAUACAGUCGGGGGAUGACGGUACCGGAAGAAUAAGCACCGGCUAACUACGUGCCAGCAGCCGCGGUAAUACGUAGGGUGCAAGCGUUAAUCGGAAUUACUGGGCGUAAAGCGUGCGCAGGCGGUUUGCUAAGACCGAUGUGAAAUCCCCGGGCUCAACCUGGGAACUGCAUUGGUGACUGGCAGGCUAGAGUAUGGCAGAGGGGGGUAGAAUUCCACGUGUAGCAGUGAAAUGCGUAGAGAUGUGGAGGAAUACCGAUGGCGAAGGCAGCCCCCUGGGCCAAUACUGACGCUCAUGCACGAAAGCGUGGGGAGCAAACAGGAUUAGAUACCCUGGUAGUCCACGCCCUAAACGAUGUCAACUAGUUGUUGGGGAUUCAUUCCUUAGUAACGUAGCUAACGCGUGAAGUUGACCGCCUGGGGAGUACGGUCGCAAGAUUAAAACUCAAAUGAAUUGACGGGGUCAUAGCUG